CGGGACGGGUGAGUAAUGUCUGGGAAACUGCCUGAUGGAGGGGGAUAACUGCUGGAAACGGUAGCUAAUACCGCAUAACGUCGCAAGACCAAAGGGGGGGACCUUCGGGCCUCUUGCCAUCGGAUGUGCCCAGAUGGGAUUAGCUAGUAGGUGGGGUAACGGCUCACCUAGGCGACGAUCCCUAGCUGGUCUGAGAGGAUGGCCAGCCACACUGGAACUGAGACACGGUCCAG
rnacentral:rRNA from 1 species